rnacentral:snRNA from 1 species
AUCGCUUCUCGGCCUUUUGGCUAAGAUCAAAGUGUAGUAUCUGUUCUUAUCAGCUUAAUCUCUGAUACGACGCUCAUUGAGUGUCUCAGUAGAUUAAACCGAUUUUUGGGAACAGGAUGGGGUCGUGAAGCUUGCUUCCGCCUGUCCACGGUAGACCCAAGCAUUGCAGUACCGCUUGGGACCUGCCCAAUAAA